ACCUGCGGAAGGAUCAUUACCGAAUAACU
rnacentral:rRNA from 1 species